UAUAGGGAGACAUAAAUUCAGUUCUAUUCCUUUAUGGAAGUAGUUCACAUCACAAAACAAAUAAUACACAUACAAAAUACGAGCAGUUGAAUCAAAAGAAGCGAAUCGUAAAUUUUGUAUAUUUCUUUUUGACGCUUUAGCUAACCAAUUCAAUUGCGAAAAUGUUGAAGCGGACUGGACAGAAAUCGCUCGAAAAACCUACAGGCUUCACCGAGCCGAAGCGCCUGGUUUUCAGCAGGGAAAAUUUGCAGGUCACCUCACGUAUGCCGAUGGGAAAUCGUGAUUAUGGAUACAUGAAGACCAACAAAGGGGUCACUCUGUUUCCAAAGAAAACGAAUCUCUUCAAUCCACAAAUGCUGACGGACCGUCUGCGUGGUGUCCAACCGAGUUCAGUUUCCCCAAUGAUGUCUGGUAAUGUCACGAAAACAAUGAUUUCCAUUGACUUUUCAUUCGAGAAACCACAACAAACCCCUUUGCGCAAUACGGAAACGUUGUUUGAAAUGAAACGAAAGCGGUUCGAUGAGGGCGAAUUCACAAUAACUCGAGGCAAGAAAUUGGGCGAAAUGCUUCAUCCAAAUUGAAUAUGAGCUGCCUGAGCUGGACUCUCAGCAGCAUGUCAUGCAAGAGAUGGAAGGGUUCUGUCGUACCACAAAUAUCAAGAUAAGCAAGGGCUUAGACUUUUAGAUACAAAUAUAACACUUUCUACACCACAAUACAUAUAUCAGCCAUAUGCAUUUAUGUGUAUUUGCAUAUUUUCAAUAAACUGGGAAUUAU